rnacentral:misc_RNA from 1 species
UAGCUGCGUUAACUGGUGUGAAUUGCAGGACACGCCGAGCACUAAGUUUUCGAACGCAUAUUGCGGCUACGGGCCUUCCCGUAGCCUCGUCUGUCUGAGGGUCGGUUAAUAACGACUCAUCGUAAGAGUUUGCUCGAGACGGCCAACUGUUGCUAGUCUCGUCAGACUUUGGUCGACGCGGUGUUUUCUGCUGAGAGUUGCAGCGGCACCGGUCCGGCGCUACGUGUCGGACCGCACUACCGUUUAUCAUGCAACUGUUAGGCGAAUUCCUGCGUGCAAAUUUUUUCGGCUUCGGUCGACUAUUUCUUGUCGACCUCAGAUCAGGCGAGAUUACCCGCUGAAUUUAA